rnacentral:misc_RNA from 1 species
GAUGAAGAACGCAGCGAAAUGCGAUACGUAAUGUGAAUUGCAGAAUUCAGUGAAUCAUCGAAUCUUUGAACGCACAUUGCGCCCCUUGGUAUUCCAUGGGGCAUGCCUGUUCGAGCGUCAUUUGUACCUUCAAGCUUUGCUUGGUGUUGGGUGUUUGUCUCGCCUCCGCGUGUAGACUCGCCUCAAAACAAUUGGCAGCCGGCGUAUUGAUUUCGGAGCGCAGUACAUCUCGCGCUUUGCACUCACAACGACGACGUCCAAAAGUACAUUUUUACACUCUUGACCUCGGAUCAGGUAGGGAUACCCGCUGAACUUAAGCAUAUCAUAAGCGGAGGA